rnacentral:rRNA from 1 species
UACGUAGGUGGCAAGCGUUAUCCGGAAUUAUUGGGCGUAAAGAGCGCGCAGGUGGUUUAAUAAGUCUGAUGUGAAAGCCCACGGCUUAACCGUGGAGGGUCAUUGGAAACUGUUAAACUUGAGUGCAGAAGAGGGAAGUGGAAUUCCAUGUGUAGCGGUGAAAUGCGUAGAGAUAUGGAGGAACACCAGUGGCGAAGGCGGCUUCCUGGUCUGUAACUGACACUGAGGCGCGAAAGCGUGGGGAGCAAACAGG